GAUUCCCCUGGCUCAGCCUCCUGAGUAGCUGGGAUUACAGAGAAAACUCUCACUUGUCAGAAUGAACAUGGAAAAGAAGGUUUCCAGGUGCCCAGUGAAAGGCAGAGCAGCACUCACAGUCUCAGAGAAUGGGAAAGUGUCUCUAUGGCAAGCAACAGAAAACUUGUCUCACCAUCAUUAUCUCACCAAAUCUACUCAGAGGUAAAGAGGACAAGCUCUCACCAAAUCUACCCAGAGGAAAAGAAGUCGUUAUAUGAAAAAGAUACUUGCACACACAUGUUUACAGCAG